rnacentral:rRNA from 1 species
AUUGAACGCUGGCGGCAGGCCUAACACAUGCAAGUCGAACGGUAGCACAGAGAGCUUGCUCUCGGGUGACGACUGGCGGACGGGUGAGUAAUGUCUGGGAAACUGCCCGAUGGAGGGGGAUAACUACUGGAAACGGUAGCUAAUACCGCAUAACGUCGCAAGACAAAAGUGGGGGACCUUCGGGCCUCACACCAUCGGAUGUCCCCAGGUGGGAUUAGCUAGUAGGUGGGGUAAUGGCUGAACUAGGCGACGAUCCCUAGCUGGUCUGAGAGGAUGACCAGCCACACUGGAACUGAGACACGGUCCAGACUCCUACGGGAGGCAGCAGUGGGGAAUAUUGCACAAUGGGCGCAAGCCUGAUGCAGCCAUGCCGCGUGUAUGAAGAAGGCCUUCGGGUUGUAAAGUACUUUCAGCGGGGAGGAAGGCGGUGAAGUUAAUAACUUCACCGAUUGACGUUACCCGCAGAAGAAGCACCGGCUAACUCCGUGCCAGCCGCCGCCGUAA